rnacentral:rRNA from 1 species
GAUGAACGCUAGCGACAGGCCUAACACAUGCAAGUCGAGGGGCAGCACAAGGUAGCAAUACUGAGGUGGCGACCGGCGCACGGGUGAGUAACGCGUAUGCAACCUGCCUGUAACAGGGGGAUAGCCUCUUGAAAGAGAGAUUAAUACCGCAUAAUACAGUUGAACGGCAUCGUUCGACUUUUAAACAUUUAUGGGUUACAGAUGGGCAUGCGUUUCAUUAGGUAGUUGGUGAGGUAAUGGCUCACCAAGCCGACGAUGAAUAGGGGUUCUGAGAGGAAGGUCCCCCACACUGGUACUGAGACACGGACCAGACUCCUACGGGAGGCAGCAGUGAGGAAUAUUGGUCAAUGGACGCAAGUCUGAACCAGCCAAGUCGCGUGAAGGAUGAAGGUAUUAUGUAUUGUAAACUUCUUUUGUCAGGGAAUAAUGACCGCUACGUGUAGCGGAGAGGAAUGUACCUGACGAAUAAGCAUCGGCUAACUCCGUGCCAGCAGCCGCGGUAAUACGGAGGAUGCGAGCGUUAUCCGGAUUUAUUGGGUUUAAAGGGUGCGUAGGCGGUUUGUUAAGUCAGUGGUGAAAGUUUGCGGCUCAACCGUAAAAUUGCCAUUGAAACUGGCGAACUUGAGUACAGUAGAGGUAGGCGGA